GGAGAGAUGAAUGAAUACACAAUGUGAUCGAGUGUGGGAAUCUUGUGAAAUUGCGAGAGAUAAUGAAGUUUACUCUGCUUUGAGGACAUGUGCCCCCCUCUUCCAGGUCCGCCACAAGGAAAUUUAUUGUUGAUUUGUCCGAGAUACAGAGGAGAGCUCUAUUGCUCCGUGCUAUUGUUCGAGUUUUCGGGAAUUGGAUUUAUGGACUUCACUGGAUAAAGCAGGCUGCUAAGGGACUAGUUCCAGAUUGUUUAUGCCGAACCUACUGUGGAAUGGUUCCAUAAACAACAUAUGGAGAGCUAGGAGUGACUUGCUGCAUAAUCAAGUUACUCCUCCUGUUGAUGUCGUGAUGAAGUCUCUUAUGUUUGCAAUAAGACUUAGUAUCGAAGGGCACUAGCUGCUGUAGCAAAAAGUUAAUUCUGAUUUGGCAUUGGCCUUAAGUUCUAACUGGCAGGUUCACCUUUAGCCGAACGCGAGUUGGUGUGCUUGGCCUUCAGUAACUAGUCCUGCAACUGUUUUUGGACAUUUGGGCAGAUACCGUCCCCGUUCUAUUUGGAGCUACUGUAGUUGCUUUACUAGUGUGCUAAUGAUAUUGUUGGGUUUGGAGAAAUAACAUUGAGUAUGUAAUUUUGGAAACCUUUAUAUAUUUUAUGAAGAUCUUUAAUUUAUCAACUUUCAGGAUAGUAGGUUUUAAGUUUGCAAAGGUGGAAUUUGAAUGUAUGCUGGUUUCAUAGUUGGCUAAUACCUUUGUUCAUACCAUCGUUGGAGCAUCCGCUAGAGUUGAUGCAUAGAAAUAUAAUGAUAUAAUUUAAAUGACCUUUUACCUUUUAUAUGUCACUUAUUU